rnacentral:rRNA from 1 species
CCUACGGGGUGCUGCAGUGGGGGAUAUUGCACAAUGGGGGGAACCCUGAUGCAGCGACGCCGCGUGGGUGAAGGAGUGCUUCGGCAUGUAAAGCCCUAUCGGCAGGGAAGAAGCAAGACGGUACCUGACUAAGAAGCCCCGGCUAACUACGUGCCAGCAGCCGCGGUAAUACGUAGGGGGCGAGCGUUAUCCGGAUUCACUGGGGGUAAAGGGAGCGUAGACGGCCAUGCAAGCCAGGGGUGAAAGCCCGGGGCCCAACCCCGGGACUGCCCUUGGAACUGUGCGGCUAGAGUGCGGGAGGGGCAGGCGGAAUUCCUGGUGUAGCGGUGAAAUGCGUAGAUAUCAGGAGGAACACCGGCGGCGGAGGCGGCCUGCUGGACCGCGACUGACGUUGAGGCUCGAAAGCGUGGGGAGCGAACAGGAUUAGAUACCCCUGUAGUC